UUUCAGUUGAUAAAGAGAAGGCAGGAUCACAGAUAAAAACUGUUAUACUCAACUGUGUGGUAUAAAAUGGAGUUAAAGAUUUUUGGAUCUUUAGGAAAUCACAAAGCAAUUUCUUCAUAUACCUUGAGCAACACUGAGGAAGCAAAAAUUGCUGGUGACUGGAAGGCUGAACAUGAGUGACACAGGCUAAAACAUAUUUAAGUGGAUAAAAAUGAUGGUAGACCAGAAUUUGUCUGAAUUGCACGUAGAGUUCAUUAAAGCACCAGCCUCUGGUGGAAGUUUAUUCAUGUGUGAGAGUACCUGCAGGUUGGUCUGGAUCCCUGCUGGAGGCUGAGCAGAAGUAGCUGCUAUGGGAGGAAUUUGAUGAAGCUGCAACCUGUCACAGUUACAGCACUGGAUGUAGCAGGCAUAAAAAAUACUUGUCCUUACUUGUGAACCUGUUUCCAUCACACAGGAGGGGGAAAUUUCAAAAAGAUGAAGCAGAGCAGAAGAUCUAUAUUGGAAAUUAUUAUCUAAAAUCAACUGAGUCUAGGAAAUCCUUAUGGAAAAAUGAACUGUUCACAGUAAUUUGUAUACACAUACACACACUGUAAGACAUUGCAGGUUGAUUAAAGGGUAUCAGAGGAGAAAUUUUCUGUUCCAUGAAAAUACAUUGAGUAAGUAAACAAAAUUCCUGUUGCUAUGGAGUACCAACAGUUCUUUCAAAAAUCUUUUUCUAUGUCCGGACAAGGCUGUGGGAC